CUGACUAUGACCUGGCGCUGACUACCGUAACCCUAACCUGCCGUUCACCUGCUGUCACACGGUACCGACGGAGACGGAGGGCUUCGAACCGAUCAGCGCGAAGUUUGCACUUGGCACCGGCGUGUUUUAAAAGAUCGGCACGAAGAGUUUUUUGCUGGACAGACUUGAGACUUACUUACAAGUUUCAGCGUCAGACUUACUGACGGAGAACCCCGUGACGAUAGUCCCCCACGCACGGUAACUUUGUUCUGUUAUUGCUUUUAUUACUCUUCAUGUCUUGGAUUUAGAAAUAUACAAGAAAAAUGUCUGACGCUUAAACUUGCUAAUGAGUUCAGUAAACGGCGCUAGCUUGAAGCCUCUCAAUACCCGCUUUUGAAAACCAUGUGGAAAUGUAAAUUGUGUGAUUUUUCUACUGCCCUACGAAUACGGUUAUUGAGACAUUACAGACUGAAUCAUGGCCAGUAUUCCACAAUUUCACCGUUACCAUGCCUGUAUAAGAACUGUUUGUGUACAUUUAGUACUUUUAAUUCACUAAAGGUACAUUUGUCAAGAUUACAUUCAGAGAAAAAAGUGGUAGGUGAAGACGGUCACGAUUUGAGUAUUCAGAGGGCAUUUCAUUGCCCUGUGUGUGACUUUAAGCAACCAUUUGUUGACAGGGACAUGUUUAUACACCUAAGGGGGCAUUUAAGACGGAAAGAAAUAGUGCCAUGUCCUUUCAGGGCCUGCACGUUUAAAACAAAUGUUUACUCCACAUUUAAUGCCCACAAAUCCAGAGAACACCAACAUGUGUCAGACUACGAUGUAGGAGUUGUGGUGCAAACUGUUUUUAAUGUUUGUCAGUAUAGUGACAUUGAACAGGAUCCAGUUCAGUUUUUAGAUGAAAAUGAAACUGCCACUGUGUCAGACAGAAGCAAUGAAGGGUUAGCAGAGCAGUUACAGUACAACCUGGCUGCCAUCUUCUAGAAAAUGCAAACCAUUCUCCAUGUAUCACAGAGGGCAACACAGGAAGUCAUUGAGCAUAUAGAUCAGUUGUUUUCACUUUCAGAACCUGUUAUCAGAAAAUCGGUAACAAAGAUAUUAGAAAAACAUAACUGCUCUGUUACUGAAACACUUGCAAAUGACAUUGUGCAGGCAGUUUCCGAGAGUAAUGUUUUGCAAAAAUCAGUUACAUCUGAAGGACCACUGUCCACAGCUAAGAGACGGAAAUCAUAUUAUGAGGAGAAGUUUCCAUUUGUUAGGCCUGUACAGUACCAUAUUGAGUCGUCCCAGCAUACCUUUAUGUAUGUGCCCAUUCUCACAUCUUUGCAGCAGCUGUUGAAAAAACCCGAUGUACUUGAGAAAGUCAAAGAAACUACUGCACAGUUGCCUGGGCAUUAUUCAUCAUACUGUGAUGGCUCCUACUACAAGGAAAAUCUGCUUCUUUCUGAUGAGGGUCAGAAAUUAUCAAUAAUUCUCUAUGUUGAUGAUUUUGAAAUUGCAAACCCUCUAGGAACAUCAAAAAAAAUACACAAAGUCUGUGCAGUUUAUUGGACAUUAGCUAACUUACCAGUAAAGUACCGCUCAGCCCUCCACAUUAUUCAACUGGCUCUAUUGUGCAAUUCAAAUGAUGUAAGGAAGUUUGGAUAUGCAAAAACAUUUGCACCCCUCUUGAGUGACCUAAAAACUCUUGAAGAAGCUGGUGUCUACAUUGAAACAUUUGGUGACUGCCUCAAAGGCACAGUCUUCUCUGUUGUGGCUGAUAACCUUGCUGCCCAUGGGCUAGCUGGUUUCAGUGAGAGUUUCAGGUCUACAUAUUUCUGCAGGUUUUGUCUUGCCACCCAGACAGAAUUGCAAUUGUCAGAUGCAGUUUCUGGUGGUUUUGAGUUGAGAACCAAAGAUCUGCAUGAUAACCAUGUUCAACAAAUACAGAACAAUGACAAUGGAGACAAUUGCGGUGUAAAAAGCAGUUGUGUUCUCUCUGACCAUCUCUCUUAUUUCCAUCCUGUCACUGGAUUUCCACCUGACAUCCUCCAUGACCUGUUUGAGGGUGUGGUUCCUGUGGAGUUGGCACAUUGUUUGAAAGGUUUGAUCACAAAAAAAUACUUCACUUUGGAAGAGUUGAAUAGGGCAAUACUGUCCUUUCCCUUACAACAUUCUGACAAGGUUGACCGCCCUCACCCGAUUCCUCAAACUUUUGCUAAAAGAGGAACAGUUGGGGGGAAUGGGCAUGAGAAUCACACUCUGAUUCGAUUGCUUCCUAUUCUCAUUGGCUCCAGAGUCCCAGAAGGGGAAAAAUUAUGGGAAGUGCUAAUGGACUUAAAAGAUAUUGUUGAGCUUGCUAUGUCUCAUAAUUUCAGUGAUGAUACUAUUCAGUACUUGGCAUGUAAGAUUUCAGAUCACAGGCAGCUGCUUCAGGAAGUCCUUCCUAACUUACGAUUACGCCCAAAGCAUCAUUACAUAGAGCAUUAUCCUCAUCUCAUUAAGUGCUUUGGUCCUCUGGUGCAUCUCUGGACAAUGAGAUUUGAGGGGAAGCACAAAGUUUUCAAGAAAAUUAUUCAUGACACUCAUAACUACAAAAAUGUGUUGAAAACUUUGGCAGAGAGACACCAAAACAUGAUGGCAUUCUAUUUGGCAUCUCCAAGGUUUUUCAAGCCACAAGUACAAACUUCAAAAGUGGAGUCUAUCUAUAUUGAGUCAUUGCCUACUGAUACACAUGCAUUAAUAUCGAACAUCACAGACAGCAGCAGUGUAUACGGCACAAAACAGGUAACCAUUGAAGGCACAACUUUUGUGGUGAGCAUGUUCGUUUGCACUGGAACGUAUGCUGCAUUGCCUGAGUUUAAAGAGAUCAGAAACAUAUUAUUAAUCAGAAAUCACAUCUUCUUUCUUCUGAAAGACUAUGAGACCGGGUAUAUUGAACAUUUACGGUCUUAUGAGCUAACACAUCAUAAAAGCAUGGAGGGCCAUACAGUGAAAUCUGUGUGUCAGCUAACUGAUCCAAUGCCACAUAUUGCCUACAAAGUUUCAGGCAAACUAAUUCUGACAAGUAAACAUUUCAUUCCAGUAUCUGAGUAGAGGAGUAGCACAACGGCAAGCAGCCUUCCUCAUCCAUUUUUCCGGUAAGGUACUAUGUGUUGAAGUAUAUCAUUACUGUAUAAUGGUUAGUUAUAUUUGUGAAUACGUUGAGUGUAUUAGCAUACACUUAAGAUUGCAUUGUUCCAAUUAUACCAUGCUCUGUUGUAAAAUAUUUAACCAGUCCAUGCCUAUUUAAAGGGAAUUUUCAAUAUUUUGGGAAAGUUAAAUUGAAGAGCAGCAAAAAAGUGAGCCGCUAAUGUACAGAUUAUAGCCUGCACCUGAAGUAACUAUUUGCGUUUUGUGUUACAGGUCUUCCUUAUACAGUGAGAAUGGAUCCAAAUGCCGUCCUAAAACUAAGGGUCAUCCUAGACGAUAUAAAUGCUGAAAGGCUUAUUUUGCCCUCUCGUUCUGAGACUGUAAACGCCCUCAUAUUGGAGGUAAAAAACAAGCUGAACUUGGCAUAUGACUUUCGCCUUCAGUUCCAAGACCCAGACUUUGACAAUGCUCUCUGUAAUUUAGUUAACAUAGAGGACCUCCCAUCCAAGGCAACCAUUAACAUAGUUAGAUUGGUUGAUUUACAUGUUAGUUCAACCAGCACAGAUGACACAGUGUUCCUGUCUGACAACACAUAUUCACAAGAGCGUCUUUUUCCAUGGCCAGAGAUAUUUGUCAUUCCAACAUUCUCAUAUGAGGUGGAGUAUGCUCUAAGAGAGGGCAACUCUGCAUAUGUGCAGGAAGGAAAAGCUCUUCGUUUGCUCAGGGAUCAAAAACACAACAUAUUGGAUUCAAUGGCUGCAGAAAUGUAUAAACAUAAAGCAUAUCCCAGUACCAAAGAGAUCGUGAAGGCUGCUGAGGCUCUGGUGAGCAAACACCCCUGUUUGAAAGAAACUGGUUCCAAAACGGGGUGCGAGGGUUGGAAGAACAGUUUGCGCUUCAAGAUGGGCAACUACAGGUCAAAACUGAGCAGGGCUGGCAUAAAGGAAGUGGCUGUGAAUUCAGGAAAGCGCAGCAGGACCAAUCCAGAGGGUGAGCCAUCCAGGGCCAACAUCAAAAGACCCAAAAGAGGGGAAGUCAACUUCCUCCCUAAUUAUCCACAGGGAGAAAGUAAGGACACAAUGGAUACCAUGAGGCUUGAGAUGGUGGAGCAGUUCAAGAGGACAUCGGUUGAAAGAGACGCGGUUCUCAUCCACCAACACAUGCAGCGUACCUUUGCACUAAGGCGCGAAGAAAUUGUGAAUUCAGGUCCUCCCAUUGCUGAACUUAAAGACCGAUGGCCUGCACUCUUUUCUGAAGCCCAACUCUACACUGAAUUCCACAGGAUCACCAACACAAAUCUGCCACAUUCCUUCUAUGCUGCCCUUGACAAGUAUACACCACUGCUGCUACAGCUUUACAAAAAGAAGAAAACCGGAAGUUUUGCAGAGAAGAUGGAAGAGGUUAUUAUGGCAUAUAAUGAUCAGGACAAGAAAAACAUCACUGCAGCUCGAAUGACAGCCCUAGCCGUCCUACCCCUCUACUUAAAGGAGGAUUCAUCAGAGGUCUUCAAAACUUGCAAGGAUGAGAUGGAGGCAACCCAGCAGGGAGCAGUGGCUCUGGUUGCAGUGGUGGAUGAAGCAGAGGUGCCUGCAGGAGUUCCCUUUGACACUCACCAUGUAUCGAUCAUCCUCGAAGAUCAAGUUGUUAUGUCUAGCAGAUCUUGGACUGAUUCACUUGUAAUUUUGUUUGGACUGAUAUAUGCUCUACAUUUGAGGUACCCUGAGAAGCUCAGUGGCUUCUUUGAGUUCAUCCAGGUGGUCAUGUUAAAUCUUGAUGAUGGGAGAAAGCAGCUCAAAGCUAAGUUGCAGUCCUUAAGAAAUGAGCUGGAGUAGGUUGUAAGUAGCUAAUAAUGUUGAAUGUCAGCAUCGUUUUGCCAAAAUAAAAAUAAUAUAUAUAAUAAUAAUAUAUAAUAUAAAUAAUAUAUGUAUAUAAAGUAAACUACGGCACAUCUGAUUUUUGUGUUUAAAAAAGAUCCUAUUCUUGGAUUGUUUCUGUGAUGUUCUCAGUUCUCUUCGUUACCACAUGGAAAUAUUUUUUAUUUAUAUUGAUAUUAUUUUUAUAUGAGCCUCAUUUCAUUCAUUUCAUCAACAGCUUCAUUGUAAAACAAUAUUGCCACGGAGUCCAAGGGAAUCCAAAUGUUGACGUUAAAAUGUUUUCUUUUGUCAGGUAUUGACACUUUGGGUGAACUAUACCUUUAAAACCCUCGUGUUGUCUUUGGGUCGGAUGACCCAGAGUGUGUGUUUGUGUGUGUGUGUGUGUGUGUGCAUGCAUGCGUGUGAUUGUGUCUAUUGCCUACGUGUGCGUCUUAAUAUACUGGGGAAAGCAAGGACAACACGAGGGUUAAACUGUUUACUUCAAAUGUGCCCUGCUUUAUGUUGUACAGUUCAUCGUUAUGGGCACAAGAAUGUGCUUGGUCUGCUGUAGCCUUUAAGUUGCAUUGAAAUGUGAACAACAAAAUAAAUUGCUCAAAGUGA